AUUGAACGCUGGCGGCAGGCCUAACACAUGCAAGUCGAGCAGAUGAAGGGAGCUUGCUCCUGGAUUCAGCGGCGGACGGGUGAGUAAUGCCUAGGAAUCUGCCUGGUAGUGGGGGAUAACGUCCGGAAACGGGCGCUAAUACCGCAUACGUCCUGAGGGAGAAAGUGGGGGAUCUUCGGACCUCACGCUAUCAGAUGAGCCUAGGUCGGAUUAGCUAGUUGGUGGGGUAAAGGCCUACAAGGCGACGAUCCGUAACUGGUCUGAGAGGAUGAUCAGUCACACUGGAACUGAGACACGGUCCAGACUCCUACGGGAGGCAGCAGUGGGGAAUAUUGGACAAUGGGCGAAAGCCUGAUCCAGCCAUGCCGCGUGUGUGAAGAAGGUCUUCGGAUUGUAAAGCACUUUAAGUUGGGAGGAAGGGCAGUAAGUUAAUACCUUGCUGUUUUGACGUUACCAACAGAAUAAGCACCGGCUAACUUCGUG
rnacentral:rRNA from 1 species